UGGGAUAACUCCGGGAAACCGGGGCUAAUACCGGAUGCUUGAUUGAACCGCAUGGUUCAAUUAUAAAAGGUGGCUUUUAGCUACCACUUACAGAUGGACCCGCGGCGCAUUAGCUAGUUGGUGAGGUAACGGCUCACCAAGGCGACGAUGCGUAGCCGACCUGAGAGGGUGAUCGGCCACACUGGGACUGAGACACGGCCCAGACUCCUACGGGAGGCAGCAGUAGGGAAUCUUCCGCAAUGGACGAAAGUCUGACGGAGCAACGCCGCGUGAGUGAUGAAGGUUUUCGGAUCGUAAAACUCUGUUGUUAGGGAAGAACAAGUACCGUUCGAAUAGGGCGGUACCUUGACGGUACCUAACCAGAAAGCCACGGCUAACUACGUGCCAGCAGCCGCGGUAAUACGUAGGUGGCAAGCGUUGUCCGGAAUUAUUGGGCGUAAAGCGCGCGCAGGCGGUUUCUUAAGUCUGAUGUGAAAGCCCCCGGCUCAACCGGGGAGGGUCAUUGGAAACUGGGGAACUUGAGUGCAGAAGAGGAGAGUGGAAUUCCACGUGUAGCGGUGAAAUGCGUAGACAUGUGGAGGAACACCAGUGGCGAAGGCGACUCUCUGGUCUGUAACUGAC
rnacentral:rRNA from 1 species